CCCGGCGGCGCCUACCUGCGAGAGCUGCCGGGGGUUGGGGCAGCCGAAGAGCGCGGAGCUGGAGCUGAAGCUGAUGGCCCCUCUGCGGCUGAGGACGUGCUGCGGCACCGGCCUGUCCAGCGGCAGCACGGGCAGCUGCUGCUCUUUUUUCCAUCCUUUCAUCUCUUUUCUUUCUCCUUCAUAAAAUCCUAAAUAUAGCAUGGUAGAACUGCAAUUCCCGUUGUCUUAUGGAUAGCUGCAAGGACGUAUGGACAUAUGACAGAGGGCCCUGGAUCACCUGCCUCAUCUUAAAAGCUUUCUUCAGCUGUUUUUCUCUAGUUUCAUGAAAAUAAAAAUGUCACAAGCAUUCACAGUAUGAUUUUAUAAUG